GAUGAACGCUAGCGGCAGGCCUAAUACAUGCAAGUCGAACGGAGUAUAUGUUUUUUCGGAAUAUAUAGUUAGUGGCGCACGGGUGAGUAACACGUACAUAACUUGCCCUCAAGCGGGGGAUAGCCUUGGGGAAACUGAGAGUAAUACCCCAUAGAAUUAUUGGACGGCAUCGUUUUGAUAAUUAAAACUUACGGUGUUUGGGGAUAGAUGUGCGUCUGAUUAGCUAGUUGGUGAGGUAACUGCUCACCAAGGCGACGAUCAGUAGGGGGCGUGAGAGCGUGGCCCCCCACACGGGUACUGAGACACGGACCCGACUCCUACGGGAGGCAGGCAGUAAGGAUAUUGGUCAAUGGAGGGAACUCUGGAACCAGCCAUGCCGCGUGAAGGAUGAC
rnacentral:rRNA from 1 species